rnacentral:rRNA from 1 species
GACGAACGCUGGCGGCGUGCCUAAUACAUGCAAGUCGAGCGCAGGAAAUCGACGGAACCCUUCGGGGGGAAGUCGAUGGAAUGAGCGGCGGACGGGUGAGUAACACGUAAAGAACCUGCCCUCAGGUCUGGGAUAACCACGAGAAAUCGGGGCUAAUACCGGAUGGGUCAUCGGACCGCAUGGUCCGAGGAUGAAAGGCGCUUCGGCGUCGCCUGGGGAUGGCUUUGCGGUGCAUUAGCUAGUUGGUGGGGUAAUGGCCCACCAAGGCGACGAUGCAUAGCCGACCUGAGAGGGUGAUCGGCCACACCGGGACUGAGACACGGCCCAGACUCCUACGGGAGGCAGCAGUAGGGUAUCUUCCACAAUGGACGAAAGUCUGAUGGAGCAACGCCGCGUGAACGAUGAAGGCCUUCGGGUCGUAAAGUUCUGUUGUAAGGGAAGAACAAGUGCCGCAGGCAAUGGCGGCACCUUGACGGUACCUUGCGAGAAAGCCACGGCUAACUACGUGCCAGCCGCCGCGGUAAGAC